UACGUAGGGUGCAAGCGUUGUCCGGAAUUAUUGGGCGUAAAGAGCUCGUAGGCGGUUCGUCGCGUCGGCUGUGAAAUCCCGAGGCUCAACCUCGGGUCUGCAGUCGAUACGGGCGGACUGGAGUUCGGCAGGGGAGACUGGAAUUCCUGGUGUAGCGGUGAAAUGCGCAGAUAUCAGGAGGAACACCGGUGGCGAAGGCGGGUCUCUGGGCCGUACCUGACACUGAGGCGCGACAGCAUGGGGAGCAAACAGG
rnacentral:rRNA from 1 species